GAGCGUUUUCCACGGUAUUACCGGAGAGGUCACUGGUGCAGAGAGGAAGGAAGGCAUGAGGCAGCUGGCUCCAUAACCACACAAGUUCCUCCCCCUGG
rnacentral:lncRNA from 1 species